ACGAACGCUGGCGGCGUGCCUAAUCCAUGCAAGGAGAACGCGGAAGGAGGAGCUUGCUCUUCUGGAUGAGUUGCGAACGGGGGAGUAACGCGUAGGUAACCUGCCUGGUAGCGGGGGAUAACUAUUGGAAACGAUAGCUAAUACCGCAUAACAGUAGAUGUUGCAUGACAUUUGCUUAAAAGGUGCAAUUGCAUCACUACCAGAUGGACCUGCGUUGUAUUUGCUAGUUGGUGGGGUAACGGCUCACCAAGGCGACGAUACAUAGCCGACCUUAGAGGGUGGUCGGCCCACCUGGGACCGGGACACGGCCCCGACUCCUACGGGGAGCAGCAGUAGGGGAUCUUCGGCAAUGGACGGAAGUCUGACCGAGCAACGCCGCGUGGGUGGAGGAGGUUUUCGGAUCGUAAAGCUCUGUUGUAAGAGAAGAACGAGUGUGAGGGUGGAAAGUUCACACUGUGACGUUAUCUUACCAGAAAGCGACGGCUAACUACGUG
rnacentral:rRNA from 1 species